rnacentral:lncRNA from 1 species
AGUGGCGGAUCCAGGAUUUUUAAAUUGGGGAUGCAAAAAAUAAUCUUAUAAACACUAGUGGAGCUAGGAUUUUUUUGAGGGAGUUGAACUUCUACGGGGGUUCGGGGGCGGUAGCCCCCGAGAUUUUUUUUUGAGGCCUUCGAUACAUUUUAGACAUUUUUUUUUACUAAAAUACAAAUAUAAUAGUAAUAACUUUGCAUUUCAAAUGCAAAAUGUAUACUUUCAACUUUUUUGUUUAAUUAAGAAUUGAGGUAAUUGAUUGAUUAAAUGAUGGGCUUGAUCAAAAGAAUGAAAAAGAAAGAGAUGGUGAGCUCUCUUUUUAGUUGGGUCAAUGGAAUUUAGGAUUUUAAAAACUGAAUUUCUCUUUUAUUUUGGAUUAAAACUUUUAAUUGGGGGUGCAAAAACUAAAUCUAAAAUAAUUUAUAUAUGAAUAUUAAUACUAGUAAAAAAAAUUUUUUUUUUUUGGGGAUGCAACUGCACCCCCAUGUUCCAUGGUGGAUCCGCCCCUG